rnacentral:rRNA from 1 species
GACUGCUAGUCGUGCGCUUCAGCCAAAACGAGGCGCGGCAUACAGCUCAGUAACACGUGGCUAAUCUGCCCUUGGGACGAGAACAACCCCGGGAAACUGGGGCUAAUUCUCGAUAGGUGAAGAACUCUGGAAUGAGUCUUCGCUUAAAAAACUUCACGUUAUGCUCGUGAAGUCGCCCAAGGAUGAGGCCGCGACCGAUCAGGUUGUUGGUGAGGUAAUGGCUCACCAAGCCUUUUACCGGUGCGGGCCGUGAGAGCGGGAGCCCGGAGAUGGGCACUGAGACAAGGGCCCAGGCCCUACGGGGCGCAGCAGUCGCGAAAACUUUGCAAUACACGAAAGUGUGACAGGGCUAUCCCGAGUGCCAUCCGCUGAGGAAGGCUUUUACCCAGUAUAGAUCGCUGGGGGAAUAAGGAGAGGGCAAGUCUGGUGUCAGCCGCCGCGGUAAUACCAGCUCUCCGAGUGGUGUGGAUGUUUAUUGGGCCUAAAGCAUCCGUAGCUGGCUAAGUUAGUCCCUUGUUAAAUCCACCGAAUUAAUCGUUGGAUUGCGGGGGAUACUGCUUGGCUAGGGGACGAGAGAGGCAGACGGUAUUUCCGGGGUAGGGGUGAAAUCCUAUAAUCCCGGGAAGACCACCAGUGGCGAAGGCUGUCUGCUAGAACGCGCCCGACGGUGAGGGAUGAAAGCUGGGGGAGCGAACCGGAUUAGAUACCCGGGUAGUCCCAGCUGUAAACGAUGCAGGCUAGGUGUUUGGACGGCCACGUGCCGUUCUAGUGCCGCAGGAAGCUGUUAAGCCUGCCGCCUGGGGAGUACGAUCGCAAGAUUGAAACUUAA